GAAACGACUGCUAAUACCGCAUAAGCGCACAGGAUCGCAUGAUCCGGUGUGAAAAACUCCGGUGGUAUGAGAUGGACCCGCGUCUGAUUAGCCAGUUGGCAGGGUAACGGCCUACCAAAGCGACGAUCAGUAGCCGACCUGAGAGGGUGACCGGCCACAUUGGGACUGAGACACGGCCCAAACUCCUACGGGAGGCAGCAGUGGGGAAUAUUGCACAAUGGGGGAAACCCUGAUGCAGCGACGCCGCGUGAGCGAAGAAGUAUUUCGGUAUGUAAAGCUCUAUCAGCAGGGAAGAAGAAUGACGGUACCUGACUAAGAAGCACCGGCUAAAUACGUGCCAGCAGCCGCGGUAAUACGUAUGGUGCAAGCGUUAUCCGGAUUUACUGGGUGUAAAGGGAGCGCAGGCGGUGCGGCAAGUCUGAUGUGAAAGCCCGGGGCUCAACCCCGGUACUGCAUUGGAAACUGUCGUACUAGAGUGUCGGAGGGGUAAGUGGAAUUCCUAGUGUAGCGGUGAAAUGCGUAGAUAUUAGGAGGAACACCAGUGGCGAAGGCGGCUUACUGGACGAUAACUGACGCUGAGGCUCGAAAGCGUGGGGAGCAAACAGGAUUAGAUACCCUGGUAGUCCACGCCGUAAACCCCUAAUGGUAGGUGUCGGGGAGCAUUGCUCUUCGGUGCC
rnacentral:rRNA from 1 species